CAGAGAAUAGUUUAAAUAAAAUAUUAAUUUUGGAGAUUAAUGAUAAAAGGUUUUUUUUUCUCUGA
rnacentral:tRNA from 1 species